rnacentral:rRNA from 1 species
AUUGAACGCUGGCGGCAGGCCUAACACAUGCAAGUCGAGCGAGCGGCGGACGGGUGCGUAAUGUAUGGGGAUCUGCCCGAUAGAGGGGGAUAACUACUGGAAACGGUGGCUAAUACCGCAUACUAUCGGCUGAACCCAUAUGUGAUUAGCUAGUAGGUGGGGUAAAGGCUCACCUAGGCGACGAUCUCUAGCUUGGCUGUGAGUAUGAUCAGCCACACUGGGACGUAGAGACGGCCCAGACGCCUACGGGAGGCAGCAGUGGGGAAUAUUGCGCAAUGGGAGCAAGCCUGAUGCAGCCAUGCCGCGUGUAUUAAGAAGGCCUUAGGGUUGUAAAGUACUGUCAGAGGGGAGGCGUUACCCGCAGAAGAAGCACCGGCUAACUCCGUGCCAGCAGCCGCGGGAAUAC